rnacentral:rRNA from 1 species
UACGUAGGCAGCGAGCGUUGUUCGGAGUUACUGGGCGUAAAGCGUGCGUAGGCGGUGUCUUAAGUUUGUUGUGAAAUCUCCCGGCUUAACCGGGAGGGUGCGGCGAAUACUGAGAUGCUGGAGUGCCGGAGAGGUAAGCGGAAGUUCCUGGUGUAGCGGUGAAAUGCGUAGAUAUCAGGAGGAACACCUGCGGUGUAGACGGCUUACUGGACGGUAACUGGACGCUGAAGGCACGGAAAGCCGUGGGUAGCAAACAGGA